GAUAUAAAAGCUAUACUUAGGCACAGUGGAAAAGAAUAUUGUGACCACUUAAUAAUGUCUACAUGGGUAUGGUGGGUUGAAUUACUGUUUAGCAAUAUUCUUUCCCUCCAUUUAGUUUCCAUACGAGGAAUAUAUGUCCACUUCAUGACUUUGGGAUUCAUCCUGUGACCUGCUUUGACCAACAGAGUGAGUCACAAGUGGCAGUGCACCGCUGAGACUAGGCUUAAGAGACCCUGCAUGUUGCUGCUUGCUCUCUCCCACUUCUGCCACCACCAUGAUGUACACACUCCACCUGGCCUGCUGCCUCCAAAAGGAAAACAAGAGCCGGGAUCACCUGACCUCCAGCGAAUUAACAAAUGGAUGCAGAAGCCCAGCUGAGAUCAGCAAGGUCUCCAGCAGAGAGCUUUGAAGAUGAUAUGAAAUGCAAGAUUCAUUCAGUUCUGAUAAAGUAAAGCUUUAGAAAAUACAGAGUGAAGACAGGACAUGGGAAAAUGUGGCUGAUUCUCAUGGCUACAGACAGAGCUAAAAUUAACUAGGAAUUGGAAGAACGGAGGAGAAAAACUGGAUUUUUGCCACCAAUCUUCAUCCUUUCCUAACCCUGAAGACCAUUUUUCAAGACUGUGGCAAUAUAGGUCUCCUUAGAAAUAACUGAUGAGAUAGAGGAACAAAGAAUACAAGCCAAAUGUCCUGCAAAUCUAGGAGCAGAAGCUCUCUGACCCAAGCAGACAUUGUUAUGACAUCCUGUACCUGGAUUCAUAAAAUUCCCGAAGGUAACCACAUAUUUCAGGCCAACGAUACCUCUGGAAACAUUUGUCAUUUGUUCAGCUUUUAAGAAUGGCUUUGUGUUAGACUUGCAUGAAUGGCAUUGAAUAUUAUAGUUUUGGUAAAUGACCUAAUUGUCGAGAGUAACAUAAUGUAAAUUGUUUAUUUCAAAAUAACAUUUUUCUGUACCUUAGUAGCUUCUUAAACCUUCAGCAAUGUUCAUAAUUCAA